rnacentral:rRNA from 1 species
CCUGGCUCAGAGUGAACGCUGGCGGCAGGCCUAAUACAUGCAAGUCGAACGGCAGCACAGCAGAGCUUGCUCUGUGGGUGGCGAGUGGCGGACGGUGAGGAAUACGUGGGAAUCUGCCCAGUCGUGGGGAUAACGUAGGGAAACUUACGCUAAUACCGCAUGCGCCCUUCGGGGGAAAGCCGGGGACCUUCGGGCCUGGCGCGAUUGGAUGAGCCCACGUCGGAUUAGCUAGUUGGCGGGGUAAAGGCCCACCAAGGCGACGAUCCGUAGCUGGUCUGAGAGGAUGAUCAGCCACACUGGAACUGAGACACGGUCCAGACUCCUACGGGAGGCAGCAGUAGGGAAUAUUGGACAAUGGGCGCAAGCCUGAUCCAGCCAUGCCGCGUGAGUGAAGAAGGCCCUCGGGUUGUAAAGCUCUUUUGUCCGGAAAGAAAGCGCCGGGUUAAUACCCUGGUGUCCUGACGGUACCGGAAGAAUAAGCACCGGCUAACUUCGUG